UGGGGAAUAUUGGACAAUGGGCGAAAGCCUGAUCCAGCCAUGCCGCGUGUGUGAAGAAGGUCUUCGGAUUGUAAAGCACUUUAAGUUGGGAGGAAGGGCAGUAAGUUAAUACCUUGCUGUUUUGACGUUACCGACAGAAUAAGCACCGGCUAACUCUGUGCCAGCAGCCGCGGUAAUACAGAGGGUGCAAGCGUUAAUCGGCAUUACUGGGCGUAAAGCGCGCGUAGGUGGUUUGUUAAGUUGGAUGUGAAAGCCCCGGGCUCAACCUGGGAACUGCAUCCAAAACUGGCAAGCUAGAGUACGGUAGAGGGUGGUGGAAUUUCCUGUGUAGCGGUGAAAUGCGUAGAUAUAGGAAGGAACACCAGUGGCGAAGGCGACCACCUGGACUGAUACUGACACUGAGGUGCGAAAGCGUGGGGAGCAAACA
rnacentral:rRNA from 1 species